CGCCCACCCACUCAAACCACUGCCUGUCUUCUUUGCUUCCUCAGGGGACAAAACCUUCCCACGCCCUAGACUUUCCAGGGCUCGCUCUCAUUUUGGUAACAAUGGAAGUGUUUAAAGAAACAAAUCCCUGCUUAAUUUGUCGACCUCCUAUUGGGCUGCACCUCCUAGAGGCCAUUAGGCCUCAUCCCAGAUAAUUUUAUUCUUCUGGACUGGGAGGAAAAGGCCUACCUCACGAACUACAGUGUUAAAGAUUCUCCCUUUACUUCGGUAACAAACAGAAAGAGGCCCAACCGAUGCCGAAAUCCAAAGAAAAAUAGACACUCGACACAGAAUAAGAACCAUGGCCUGGACCUACUACCUUCUCCAGACUUCCUGAGACCAACAUUACAGAUCACCGUUUGACCCUAUUCUGCCAUGACAUCGUUUCUUCAUCAAAGGACACCUGUGCUUUUGUGAUAUGUUUAUGUUCUAGUCUGGUUCUCAAAUUUUCAGGACCACAAGAUGCAUUUUAUCUGUUUACUCUGUAUGAUCCAAUGGUUGUAAAUUGAUUUGCACUAAUUAAACCCACAAAAGGCUGAUUCAUAAACUGAGAGAACAAUGUGUUAAAUUACAGAGAAAGAUUAAACUGGGGUGAGAAGCAAGGACAUGCAUUUGAAAGGCCACUGUAUUUGGGGUGAGUCCACCAUAGAAGCCAAACAGCAAAGCAAAGCAUGGCCUUGUCAACACAGAAUCAAUGCAAAGCUGUUUGUAUGUUGUCAUGUGAUAUUUCUAGAAAGUUCUGGUAGACUGAGAAUUUGCCUUUCAUGAUGGUUAUGCUUGAAAAACCAAGUCCAGUAUUUAGAAUGAGAUGGUCUUCUCCCUGGAGGGUGCCAGAGUGACAUUGAUAAAUUGUUACAGUUCAACCCUCAUUUUUCCCAUUGUCAAAGAAAGAUAUUCUCAUUCUGUUUGUACUUGUCAUUGUGCUUAGAUUAUCAAACUUACAGGUAACUUUUGUCAAUUAUACUUUGAUGGGUAAUUUAGAUUGUGGCAAAUAAAUCUAAGCAUCGUAGUGCAGCACCUAGGGGCUGGAAAAACAUUGGCAAUCAUCUAGUUCAGUGGUUUUCAAAUUGCAUCUCAUGGACCCAAUGGGCUGCUGGAUUAGGCAGCUAGAGGUGUGAGGAGGAAGCUGAGUAAGUAGGCUGUGGUCGGCCAUCAUCCCCUUGUAAGGAGCUUGAAUUAUUCAAAAUGCAGUAGUCACUGAUACAUUUUAGUAUAGAGUGACACAAUGAAGUUUACAUUUUAAAGAAUCAAUUUGAGUGAAGUGAUUGGAGAAGGCAAGCGUAGAAGACCACCAAGGAAGUUAUAUAGCAUUUGUCCAGAGCAGACAUGGUGGUGUUGGGGAUCAGGGUAAUAGCAAUAGAGUUAGAGAGAAGUGGAUGGAUUUCAGAUGUAAUUUAAAGUUACAAUCAGAUAGGACUUGGCUAGUGAGGAAGCAGAAAUUAUCAAGAAUUCACUCAUGUACCCCAAAUGGAAAAUUUACUGGGUACUAACAAUGGGCUAGGCACUGGGCUAGGUGUUCCGCUAGACAACCAAGUCCCUGCGCUUCCUGGAGUCCAUAUUCUAGUAGAAGGAGAGGGACAAUAGAUGAGCACACAGGGAAAAGCUAACGUGCUCUGAAAGAGCUUGGGAAAUUAAUUGUAGGACCCACACUGUUUUCCUUCUUUCAGAGAUCUCUGUUCUGAACCACCCGCUGUUACAAUCAACCAGUUAUCCAAUCCCCUCAAAAUCAUGCACAUGUUUUGCCUAUUUCUCAGUGUGGAAGAUGGAAAAGACAACCUACUUCCUGUUAUUUCAUCAUGGCCAGAAGUAGAAGAAACUUUCUCUUGCAUAAAUGUGGUACAAGGGACAAAGGAAAGGAAGAAGUCAAAACUCAUUACGCUCUGACUUAAUAGCACAGUAGACGGUUGUGAGACAGAACCAGAUGGCUUUGGAUUUAUUUUUGUUUCUUCCUCUCUUCCUCCCUUCCCUCCUUUCCUCCCUCCCUCCCUUCCUUCCUUUCUUUUGUAUGUGGGUUUUAAGUUUUGUUUUGUUUCAAAGAUUCCUGAGAGCAGAGUGAUGUGGAAAGGAUGGAAAUCGAUGGAAUGGCUCUGAACAUGUUGAGUUUGAAAUGUCUGUAGCACCUGUGGCACAAGAAAGUUCCAAGAGGAGGCCAGGGAUAUUCUUGAGUACUUGGGCAUAUGAAGAUAUAAUUCACUGAGAUGUAGAAUCUGUAGAAGGAGCAGAUUUCUGGAGAGAGAUUUAGCGCUCAGAUGUUGAGAUGUUAAUUUUGAAAUAUCUACGAGACAUUGAAAUAUCAACAUCAAGUAGGCAGUUCAAUAUUUACUUGUGGAGCUCAGAAAGAAGAGCUAGGCUGCUUAUAUAAAUUUGAGACUCUUCAACAUAGAGGUGGCAUUUAAAUCAUGGUAAAGGAUAAGGUUACUUUGGAAGAGAGAGAGAUUAAGGGAAAGCAGAAGAGGAAAGGAAGGAAGAGCACAGAAGAGAGACGAUAAGAGAG
rnacentral:lncRNA from 10 species